rnacentral:rRNA from 1 species
CAUCAUGGCUCAGGAUGAACGCUAGCUACAGGCUUAACACAUGCAAGUCGAGGGGCAGCAUGGUCUUAGCUUGCUAAGGCCGAUGGCGACCGGCGCACGGGUGAGUAACACGUAUCCAACCUGCCGUCUACUCUUGGACAGCCUUCUGAAAGGAAGAUUAAUACAAGAUGGCAUCAUGAGUUCACAUGUUCACAUGAUUAAAGGUAUUCCGGUAGACGAUGGGGA